rnacentral:sRNA from 1 species
GUAAUAUUUCCUGUAGAAUUAGAAAACUCUGUCCUAAAUCUGACCUGACAGGCUCUUAUUAACGACUGCCACAACACAAACACUGUGAAAAAGAUGCAACCAUGUAAAGGUGGAAAGUUCUCAUGACAUAGAAAAUAUCAAUCAGCCUUUCUCACAUCCCAAAGCCUUCAAAAAUAUACGAGUGCAGCAUGGCCAGUAUGGAAUUGACCGAAAACUAAUCACCAAGCUAGAAACGUGGUGAGAGAAAAAAAAGGGCAAGAAUAUAUUUGGCUUAUCACCUCCCACUUUUGCCCACUAAUCUGAUGCUGAAAAGAAAUUCUCACUGAAGCAUUUCAGAUUUUGAAUAUUUCAGAUUUGGGAUGGUAAACCAGUAAGUAUAUGACAAAUAUUUCAGUAUCAAAAAGUGUCAGAAAUCCAAAACACUUUUUGUCCUAAGCCUUAUGCAUAAGAAAUACUCAAUCUGUGUGAACUAUAGGCAUCAAGCUCUACAGCAGAUCUCUAGAAACUCCCCACCUUGCAUAACUGAAACUGCACACCCAUGAACAACUUCUGAUUCUCCCCACUGCCAGCUCCUGGCUACCAGCAGUCUCUUCUCAUAUUCACUCUGGAAUCCACUUACAUGAGGUCCCUGGUUUAGUCAAACCCAUGGAAUCAGAGAGUAGAAUGUCCAAUGAUAGAAAAUACUUGCAAAACUUCUCUCCAAAUUUGUCUCAUAUCCAUCAAACACACAUGGUCCAUGAGGACCAGAUUUACAGCAGUUCAUUCCCACCCUUUCCACCAGUCAGUUCUGCAUUUGCAAAUGUCCACAUGUAUUUCUGGAAAGAUCCACAUGGUCCUCACCUGCCCUCUGCAGAAGGAGAGGAAACUUAAAGAACCCAGGACAGGGAACAUAGUUCUGCUACAGAGCCACCAGCUCUCGCCUGUCCCCUUCACUCUUUCUAGAUCAUUCCUUGCACUCUGCCCUAUCUUUAGAGGUCACUGGUUCAAGUAAGUCCUCAUGAAACACCUGCAAAAAACUGCCGCACCUUGUGCCUCCACCACCUGAUGACUGAACUGACCUCCAGGCUUGACUUUGGUCUCCCCUGUGUUAUUUCUGCUGAAACAUCCAGUCCCAGGCCAGGCUGCUCAGUAUCUUCAGGGUUUCAGGACAAAGGGAAGUCCCAUUAUUACUCAUCUCUAGAACGUCCUUGGAAAUGGAAGCUGCAGAGAAAUCACACCUGGGGGGCAAAGUAGGAUGGAAUUUGGAAGGGGCCCAGCAGUUGCACAUUCCAGGUAAGGAACCCAAGGUGAGCCAGCCAGUCAACUGAUUAGGGAGGGGCUGGGAGGGGUAGCAGGGGCUGUGACUUGCACUGACGUGUCUGUCCAUGACCCAACACUGCUGCUCAGUUGACACUUGAGAAAGUCUGUGCUUUCCUAAGAUGAAGCAGGUGGCCUCACAGUCUUUGAGCCCUUAGAUCAUCAUGCAUCUGUCUUGUGACACAAGCACCAGCUAUUGGCUUUCAAGGACUCGGGUGGGCUGAGAGGUGGGAGAUGCCAACUCUGAUUGAAGGAUGCCUCUGGAGGAAUCAAAGGUGCCACACAGGACAAUCUUCUCUCAGUUAUCUACACAGUGAAGCUGCCCAAGUUCUACAUCACCACCAACAACUUAAACCCCAGGGAGAAUAAGGAUGUCUUAGCCUUCACCUGUGAACCUAAGAGUGAGAACUACACCUAUAUGUGGUGGCUAAAUGGUCAGAGCCUCCUGGUCAGUCCCAGGGUGAAGCGACCCAUUGAAAACAGGAUCCUCAUUCUACCCAGUGUCACGAGAAAUGAAACAGGACCCUAUCAAUGUGAAAUACGGGACCGAUAUGGUGGCAUCCGCAGUGACCCAGUCACCCAGAAUGUCCUCUAUGGUCCAGACCUCCCCAGAAUUUACCCUCCAUUCACCUAUUACCAUUCAGGAGAAAACCUCUACUUGUCCUGCUUCGCGGAAUCUAACCCACCGGCAGAGUAUUCUUGGACAAUUAAUGGGAAGUUUCAGCUAUCAGGACAAAGUCUCUUUAUCCCCCAAAUUACUACAAAGCAUAGCGGGCUCUAUGCUUGCUCUGUUCGUAACUCAGCCACUGGCAAGGAAAGCUCCACAUCCUUGACAGUCCAAGUCUCUGACCGGACAUUACCCUGAAUUCUACUAGUUCCUCCAAUUCCAUUUUCUCCCAUGGAAUCACGAAGAGCAAGACCCACUCUGUUCCAGAAGCCUUGUAAGACGGAGGUGGACAACUCAACGUAAAUUUCAUGGGAAAACCCUUGUACCUGAAGCGUGAGCCACUCAGAAUUCAACAAAAUAUUCGACACCAUAACAACAACCGCUCAAACUGUAAACCAGGACAAGUUGAUGACUUCACACAGUGGACAGUUUUUCCCAAGAUGUCAGAAUAAGAAUCCCCAUCAGGAUGAGGCUCUCACCGCUCUUAACUAUCCUUGCUCAUGCCUGCCCCUUUCACUGGGCAGGAUAAUGCAGUCAUUAGAAUUUCACAUGUAGUAGUUUCUGAGGGUAACAACAGAGUGUUAGAUAUGUCAUCUCAACCUCACACUUUUACAUAACAUCUCAAGGGGAAAUGUGGCUCUCUCCAUCUUGCAUACAGGGCUCCCAAUAGAAAUGAACACAGAGAUAUUGCCUGUGUGUUUACAGAGAAGAUGAUUUCUAGAAAGAGUAGGAAAGCUGAAAUUAUAGUAGAGUCCCCUUUAAAUGCACAUUGUGUGGAUGGCUCUCACCAUUUCCUAAGAGAUACAUUGUAAAACGUGACAGUAAUACUGAUUCUAGCAGAAUAAAACAUGUAUCACAUUUGCU